rnacentral:rRNA from 1 species
GAGUUUGAUCAUGGCUCAGAUUGAACGCUGGCGGCAUGCCUUACACAUGCAAGUCGAACGGUAACAGGUUAAGCUGACGAGUGGCGAACGGGUGAGUAAUGUAUCGGAACGUGCCCAGUCGUGGGGGAUAACUGCUCGAAAGAGCAGCUAAUACCGCAUACGACCUGAGGGUGAAAGCGGGGGACCGUAAGGCUUCGCGCGAUUGGAGCGGCCGAUAUCAGAUUAGCUAGUUGGUGAGGUAACGGCCCACCAAGGCGACGAUCAGUAUCCGGCCUGAGAGGGCGGACGGACACACUGGGACUGAGACACGGCCCAGACUCCUACGGGAGGCAGCAGUGGGGAAUUGUUCACAAUGGGCGCAAGCCUGAUGACGCAACGCCGCGUGGAGGAUGAAGGUCUUCGGAUUGUAAACUCCUGUUGCCCGGGACGAAAAGCUUCAACCUAAUACGUUGAAGUCUGACGGUACCGGGUGAGGAAGCCCCGGCUAACUCUGUGCCAGCCGCCGCCGUAAU